GAUGAACGCUAGCUACAGGCUUAACACAUGCAAGUCGAGGGGCAUCAGGAAGAAAGCUUGCUUUCUUUGCUGGCGACCGGCGCACGGGUGAGUAACACGUAUCCAACCUGCCCUUUACUCGGGGAUAGCCUUUCGAAAGAAAGAUUAAUACCCGAUGGCAUAAUGAUUCCGCAUGGUUUCAUUAUUAAAGGAUUCCGGUAAAGGAUGGGGAUGCGUUCCAUUAGGUUGUUGGUGAGGUAACGGCUCACCAAGCCUUCGAUGGAUAGGGGUUCUGAGAGGAAGGUCCCCCACAUUGGAACUGAGACACGGUCCAAACUCCUACGGGAGGCAGCAGUGAGGAAUAUUGGUCAAUGGGCGCUAGCCUGAACCAGCCAAGUAGCGUGAAGGAUGAAGGCUCUAUGGGUCGUAAACUUCUUUUAUAUAAGAAUAAAGUGCAGUAUGUA
rnacentral:rRNA from 1 species